rnacentral:rRNA from 1 species
UACGAAGGGGGCGAGCGUUGUUCGGAAUCACUGGGCGUAAAGGGUGCGUAGGCGGCGACAAAAGUUAGAAGUGAAAGCCCAGGGCUCAACCUUGGAAUUGCUUUUAAAACUAUGUUGCUAGAAUCUCGGAGAGGAUAGCGGAAUUGUCAGUGUAGCAGUAAAAUGCGUAGAUAUUGACAGGAACACCAGUGGCGUAAGCGGCUAUCUGGACGAGUAUUGACGCUGAGGCACGAAAGCGUGGGGAUCAAACAGG